UACAGAGGGGGCAAGCGUUGUUCGGAAUUACUGGGCGUAAAGGGCUCGUAGGCGGCCAACUAAGUCAGACGUGAAAUCCCCAGGCUCAACCUGGGAACUGCGUCUGAUACUGGAUGGCUUGAAUCCGGGAGAGGGAUGCAGAAUUCCAGGUGUAGCGGUGAAAUGCGUAGAUAUCUGGAGGAAUACCGGUGGCGAAGGCGGCAUCCUGGACCGGCAUUGACGCUGAGGCGCGAAAGCCAGGGGAGCAAACGGGG
rnacentral:rRNA from 1 species